UGUCGUAUUACGAUAAUUUUC
rnacentral:piRNA from 1 species